UUUUCUUUUCAGUUCAAAUAUCGUCGUCAUCGUGAAAACUUAAACAUAAAAAUUGGUAGGAACUUUGCGUACUUCGGGGUUCGUGUACCCGGAUGGAAUCUUCAGUGGUAAAAAUUGGUUAAUUUUAUAAAUAAAUGCUUCAAUAACUUCCAAAAAACUCUCAAUUGGAAGGCUUUUCCUUUCUUGCAGCUUCUUCCAGCCAAUAUCUCUCUAGGAGUUUACUGUUUUGAAAUAAAAUAACCAAAGUUCAAGUAACCCAAGAUUUUCCGCUCUCAGGUUAGAAUUUACGAAACUUUCAACUUCGAUUUAUAAUUUCUAAAAAAAAAAAAACAAAAAAAAUGUUUGUGUAUGGCCACUGUUUCCUUUUCAGUUUAAAUGUUAAUGUUGAAAAAAAAAAUCACAUCGUGAAAACUUAAACAUAAAAAUUGGUAGGAACUUUGCGUACUUGUACCCGGAUGGAAUACCUUCAGUGGCAAACUAAAUUGUUUGGUUAAGUUUGAUUAAGGGAACUCCCCGGCAUGUGAGCGGGAAAGGUAAACAAUGCAACAACAAUACAAUGCAUAAAUGGAAAAGCCAUUAAAAAAUGACCAGACACACGAACCCAGAAGAUAGUGACGCCUCAAAAUCAUGAUAGGCUCGUGUGUAUAUGGCCAGUUGGACUGUGUGUUAUGCAAGUACCAGGAAAUCUCUGGCCGAGAUCAUGAUAGAGAUAUGACCAACAGUGCCUAAGCAAACAUGUUCAUUGAGGGAUCUCUGUAGAAUCGGAUGUGGGCUAAGCUUGGACCCCGGUGGCGAUGUAAGCGAUUUCCUUCUAAUGACAAUUCUUACAUCUAAAUUGUUUUUAUGGCCGCCGUUUAAGAGGAAC